GGACCGUUAGCUCAGAUGGUAGAGCAGUUGACUCUUAAUCAAUUGGUCGUAGGUUCGACCCCUACACGGUCCACCA
rnacentral:tRNA from 1 species